AUGGGCCACCCCACAUGUGUGGCUGUAUGUCAUAAGGCAUUACAUCACAGCAGUAAAGGGAAUUGUGGAUGAAAAUAUCAGUGAGGCAGUCAUAGUCUCUGUGUUUGCACAUGUUUGUCAUGUGAUGACCUUUAUACCUGCUGACUGCAUGGAUCAACUAUUUGUCCUGACUCUGGACUUGGUGACCAGGCCAACAGUGUCAAACAGUAAUAUCAGAGAGCAGCUGAAGAGUUCAGUCAACAUUUUAUCAUCUGAAGUACACAGGGCAGCAUUGACUCAAAAACUAAAUCAAAAUUUGCAGACUAUUGCUGGCAUAGUAUAAAAUGUAGGCAUUGAAAUGGAAUCAAAAAUGACAACUGUGGACACCCAGUGACACUCUUUUCUCACUUUGUUUUAUUUUCUUAGUCACUGAUAUGGAACUGAGUGAGCCAAGAAAUGCCAUUAAAAUCGCAUAAUGCUCUUUAACUUGCAAACUGCUUUUCUUUGGUCGAAAUACUAUGAAUCAACUUGAAGCACCAGCCAGAUGUUAAAGUUAAAUAAUCAAAGCCCAGAAUGCCACCACAGCAUAGAUAGAAUAAAAAUAUAAAUGAUAACAAUGUAUAAACAGCAGUUUACAGAUUUCUGAGUAAAUAAUUGUUUAUAAGUGCAUAUUAUAAAUAAAGUUAUUACAAACAAAGGGAGACAGGUAAUAAGAAAUGAUACUGAGAACAAGACACUGAUUCCAUUUAAAUAUGACUUCAUGUUAAACAAGAAUUAUUUAAUGUACAAUAACUUUAAAAAACCUGUAUUUGUGAUGUACUUGGAAUCCGGCCAUAGUCAUGACAAGUAACACACCACGUUGGUGAUGGAUUCUUGUGUAAAGAUGUGGUCAGUGCUCUUGUUGAAGUUAAUUCCGUGGUAGAAGUACCUGGUAUUGGAGACUUCUACAGUGAAAAGGAAAUCAGUGCCUUGUCGAGGCCUAUGCUAGGAAGGUAAGUUACUGAACAUGUUUAGUUAAAUUUAAGUGCAUUUUAUAUAAAGGAGCCACAUCACAGAUGACGAAUCUUGAAAACAAACUUGCACAUAAAAAAGUGUACAUACGGUUAAUCCUCUCCUUACAGAAACCUCGGGAAAAGCUGCACAUAAUGAGUGUUACUUACCUGAAGUUCAACUGGUAAGAGUUAUUUAAUUUUCUGGCAUAAGAAGAAAUCCUGUUGUUGUAGCUGUCAAACAUGGUGCAAACUAUUAUCAAGUGUAUGUUGCUGUAUCCUGUUACAACUACAAACUUAAGUAGAUUUCUUUGUUUUUAGGUUAUGUCUUCAAAUUGAUCCAAAGCCCAGCAGUUCUAACCUCAAUAGUACAGCUACCUCCAGGUCAAGAGGGUCCAUAAGUCACUCACUCACUCGUGCCAUUGCCCAUUACACCUUGGUGGCAGGUAGGGCAGCAACAUAAUCCUUCCACAUCUGCUGGUCCUUUGCCAUGACUUGAACGCCCCGUCAGGUCUUUCCCCUCUGCUUCAUUUCCUUUUGCCUUGCUGUCCCUCUGGCAUCCAGUGUAGGGUGGUCUUGAUGAUGGACACUUCUUGGUGGGUGACAUGGCCAAUCCAUCUCCAACACGUUCUCAUCAGAAUGGUAGCCAUGGAUUUAAGAGCAUAAGUGAUUUACAAAGGAAUUCAUCUACAUAGCUAAUUUGUUCCAGGACACAGAAAGACUGUCAGUUUAGAGGCUAAUUUGAAAAGAAUCCUUACAAAUGGCUGAAUUUUUCGCAGUUUCAACUCGGUUUCGGAGGAAACUUUUGCAAGUUCAAAGUGGGAGCUGAAGCCAAUGCAUUAGUGUGGUACACAAGGAGAAGCCACGAAAGUGAAACGUAAUUAUAAGGUCCCACAGAAUCUUACGACGUUUGAAGAAAGUGAAGAACAACAAAGCUAACGGAACCUUAGAGGACUAAAUUAAAUUUAAACUUUGUUAUGGAAGAAGAAAAGAAAGGAAAAAAUGUAUUUGAUUUAAAUUUUGAGUACGAGAUCGAAUACGGGUACGACUUUUCAAUUCUAGUUUGCAGCUUUCACCUUAUAACAUGACAUUCCUAUCUCCUCCCACGAGUUACUCUGGCUACCUAAAACCAACAAGAAGAGCGCGAGCUCUGAUCUGGAAACAUCAGUGGUUUGAAUUCGGACAUUUCACUCGUACUUAAUCUCGUUCUCGUACUGCAAUGAAUGAGGCAUUUUUGUGUCUCUUUUACAUAGUAACGACAGUAACAAUGUUGACAAUGCUUACACUCUCACUAUCAAAUGUAUGCAAAUUUGAACGCGAACCACAUUCUGUUACCUUUUUUGUUAAAGAAAAUACAACUGCAAAAAUGGAUGUCAGCUUUUCUGUUUGGAUUUAUUCCUACGCGGAUAGCCAUCUAAAGUUGAUGGCAUUUAAUAGUACAUCGACCAAAGCAUACCGCGCGAAAGCCUUUAGGCUUCUUGUUGAAUUUCGUAUUUUUUGGAAAACUAGAUAUUUCGUUAAUAUAUUUAAACUGAUAAACGUUACCAAUAUAUCACUCUUAGUGUUUGAAUCCAACUUUUUUAACUCAAAAGUAAUAAAAGAGUUUUAUAAAUGUUGAUAUUACACUUCGUAUGGCAACACUUUGAAAGUUCAUAAGUGCAUGAACAUUGUCGCUUACGGAAAAGUCAAUAAGUAAACGUUAUCAACUUUUCAUUUUGUAUUUGAUUUUUUAUUGACGGACUUUUGGGCAGAAAUUUUAUUAUGCAGAGAGGUUCCAGGGAUGUAUUUAGGUCUCGAUACAGGUAAAAGAAUUCCUUGUGUAAUUUUUGAAGAGAGUAGAUUCGUGUUUAAUUAUUUUUGUAGGUCAAAGUUAAACUAUCCUAAAGUUUUGUAAACUAGACGUUAAGUUUAAUCGCUUCAUCUUCACAAUGAAACUUUACGUUUGUUAGAUUUGACUCUGAUGACGAUCGACUUCUUUCCACAAGGUCAUCAGUUUCGGAAUAAGGCUUUGUUAUGUCGAAGACAAACGGACUGCCUUAAUUCCAUAACGAUCACUGUGUAAAAUGACAAAAAAUUGCAAUCUUGCAAAGAUGAACAAUACAUGGAACGCCUGUCUGGCCUCAGGACUUCAGCGACCUUGUUUCCUUGACUCCUGGACUCUACAGCUGUAUAGCAAGACAAUUCUUUCCUUAAAAGACAUACUGUACACAUUUUAUAAUAGCACCAUUUACAAGGUUUUUUUCUCCAUAAUACAACAUAGCAUUUUCAAACUUUCACGAUAAAAAAAGACAUUAAACAAAGUGACUUUAAGUUAGCCCUACUAAGCUGAUUAUCCUUGGUAUCAAUGCGUUUCCUUGGCAACGCUCAACAAACCUUAUGGUUUGGUCGUGAUUUGUUAUUUUUCUUUUUUUUCCCCCUAUAUUGUUAUUUCAUUUUCUGUGCCUGAACGUACUGAUAGAGAACUUGCCGUUUGAUAACAGCAGAUGAUAUUUGUUGAACCGAGCUAGGGGUAAUCCUAAAAGAUACGCAGUCACAGUAGCGUUCUUCGCACUAAAAAGAGAGAAGUGACCUUACCCGAAAAUUAACCGCUAUCCUCGGUCAUAUCACACGGCAAAUAAAAAACCACUUGGCUCCGGGGAUAAAAACUGAGUGUAUCACGCUGAUGAGAUGAG